rnacentral:rRNA from 1 species
AUGAAGUACGCGCAGGUGGCCUCCGGCCGGUUCUUCUUCCUUGACUCAAUGGAUAAUGGCGCCGGCGACCACGACCGCCGACACUUUCUCAAGCUCGACCCCUGCUUCCUGUGCAAGCGUCGCAUCGCCUCCAACCACCACGCCUACAUGUACACGGGUGAUGCGGCGUUCUGCAGCGAGGACCGCAGGCAGGAGCAGAUGGACAUGGACGCUGCACUGGCUGCCGCCGCGCACCGCCACCGUGCGCCGUUAAUCAUCAGACCGUCGUCAUUGAGGAGCGAUUAG